rnacentral:rRNA from 1 species
GUGGGGAAUUUUGGACAAUGGGCGCAAGCCUGAUCCAGCAAUGUCGCGUGCAGGAAGAAGGCCUUCGGGUUGUAAACUGCUUUUGUACGGAACGAAACGGUCCUGGCUAAUAUCCGGGGCUAAUGACGGUACCGUAAGAAUAAGCACCGGCUAACUACGUGCCAGCAGCCGCGGUAAUACGUAGGGUGCGAGCGUUAAUCGGAAUUACUGGGCGUAAAGCGUGCGCAGGCGGUGCUGUAAGACAGGCGUGAAAUCCCCGGGCUCAACCUGGGAAUUGCGCUUGUGACUGCAGUGCUGGAGUGCGGCAGAGGGGGAUGGAAUUCCGCGUGUAGCAGUGAAAUGCGUAGAUAUGCGGAGGAACACCGAUGGCGAAGGCAAUCCCCUGGGCCUGCACUGACGCUCAUGCACGAAAGCGUGGGGAGCAAACAGGAUUAGAUACCCCUGUAGUCC